UGGUGUAAUGGUCAGCAUGGUUGCCUUCCAAGCAAUCGACGGGGGUUCGAUUCCCCC
rnacentral:tRNA from 1 species